CAGCCCUUCUCCAUUGUGAAAUGGCUCCUGACCGAACUUGUCAUUUUCCUGCUGGAGUUCAACCUUUACAGCUGGUGGCAUGUUGAUCUCUCAGUCAAAGCCCAAAGAUCGAGGGGAAAGACCAUGAUGGUGCCAUGUGACACGGAGUACCCUGCCUUCGUCUCUGAGCGCACCAUCAAAGAGACCACGGGAAACAUCGACUGUGAGGGCUGUGCCAGAUCUUUUGUAAUUCAGCAAAUUCCUAGUAGUAACCUCUUCAUGGUCGUCGUGGACAACAAGUGUGACUGCAGUUCUGCCCCC